GAGCACCGAGAUCGAGUCUCCCCACCCCCAGUCAGUGGUCUGACCUCCAGCUGAGGUUGGUGCCAGCGGGGACUGAGACGGCUCACGGCGCUGGCCGAAGGAACAAGCAAAUGACAGGCAGAGAGAGGGGAGGAAAGAGCGUCCUGCCUGGAGCCAGCCAUCCGAGGGAUCCAAGGCAUGUGAAGAAUCCUCGUGUGUUGACUGAAGUGCUGUCUUGGUGAAAUGAUGACAGACAUCACCUUGAAAUCAAGGCCGGAUGAUCUUCUCUUCCAAUUAAGCAGUGAAGUGUCCGGCACAUGGCCUGAAUCCCCUUGAACGCUUGUCAUCGCUAAGCAGAGAGGUCUCUCAUGUUUGCUUCCGUCUUCAUUCUUGGAAAGCAGUGGAUGCUUGAAGACAACAGAGAGAUUCUCCUGAUGGAAAAACAGAUCCCCAGUACAGACUAUUCCUUAUCUUCAUCUACAAUAUGGCGACAAAUCAGAUGAAAAGCAGGUAAGACUGAACUGUUUUGUAUACUUUAGAGAUCUCACUGGGAAAGUAAGUAUAAUACUGAACACCAGAAUAUAAAUAACAAUGCAGAAAAUGUUGAAUAUAGAUCACUACACUUGAAAUCUGAGACACUAGAGGUCAAGAUAACACUGGAAUGCCAAUGUAUUCAUCCUCCAUCACUUAGGAAAUGAGGUGACUAAGAGCCAAAUAUCACUGACUGAGGAUAGUAGAUUAUAACGAAUCUGUACGGUAUGAAUUAAAAAAAGAGAUUUAACGUUUCUAUGCCUGCAGAAAUUUGACUUCACAUGUGGUAAUAUAACAACUACUACAAUAUGCAGUAUAGUUAAUACACUGCAAAGAAACAGGCUGAUGACUGAGCUUAUGAAUCCCAGCCUUAAACAGGAACCACCAGUAUUCACUUUAGGGUGCUGAUCCUGCUCUUUUUAAAGUAUCUGCUUAAUCAGGAAAGCAGGGUGUUCUAAGACAUGACAUUACCAGGAAGAUAGCUCAAGUAUAAUGCUUCAGAUUUUUAGAACUUCUGAUUGCCUACAGUAUUAGCUAUUUGAUUCAAAUUAGUUUGUAUAGCACUCUUCACUGAUUAUGUUGUCUGGGUGCUUUCACAGGUUUUCAGCUAUAAAACAAUGAGAAGAAUAACUAAACUGCCCAUCAUCACUUGAAUAUGUUAAUAAACAAAUUAUGUUUACUAAUUCAAUUGAAUUAAAUGGUAUAUUACACAGAAAAGGAACAUUCUCUCUUGAGCUAAUGAAUCUAAAGAACUGAGAGGAUCUAUCCCUGUAAACAGUAUCAAUGAGAGUUGUACACAUUGUGCGUAUUUUUGUGAUUUUUGAAAUUGAAAUAAAGCUAAUAUUAUUCUGGCUAUCUUUGAGGGUAAAAAAAUAGACAUGACCAGAAAACAACAACAUAUCUGAAGACUGGAUAACACUGAAACUAUGGCAGCUUUACUGAGAAAAGGGGGAUAGGUGAUUUCUGAUUUCUUAUUUUUAUAAUCUUGAAUGUGUGGUUCUGUAUGUACAUGUGUAUAAUAAGCUAUUGUCUGAAAUUAAGUUAAUUCUUAUUAAUCUAUGCUACUACAAAUUUAAAUAUGUUCAUGCUCAAUCACUUGAUGUAUAUGCUCAUUACAACGUAAAUGGACUGUAUAAAUUUGAUAUUUGCUUCUUUGUAACACUGAUUACACAAUCACAUUUAAGUAAAAUCAAUACAGGAAAAAUGGUUGAAACAGAUGAAAACAUAUUUUGAAAUAGAAUAUGGUUAGUUUUAAUAUUUUCACACUAUUUAAAAUGGACAGUACUUCAAAUGAGUACCCUAUGAACAAAAAUUUAGGAAAAUUUUGGAUAUUAACCUACUAACAUACAGUAUAUGAACUAUAGUCUACAUAUUUCCAAAUAGAGAACAUUAAACCUUCAGUGACAUAUUAAUAUGCAGUUUUACGCAACAUUGAAGCAAGUACUGUACCUUUUUUCUAUCAUACAUGUACAGUACAAUAUAAACAAAGGUUGUUGCAAUGAUUGUGUGUAAAACAGUACACAGACACACACACAUAUUUAUAUAUACAGAGACGCAUACACAUAUAUUUUUCCAUAUGGCACAUACAUAUAUUGUGUGUUUUUAUGCAUGUAGUAUUCACUAGCUUUGUUAUGGUUUAAAAGAAAACUCAUUAACUAGUGUUGCAUUGAAAAGAUAAUCCAUAAGCCAGAUUUUAAUCAUUAUAACCUUAACUCAGCUACUGUACAAUAUGCAAGAAAACAGACCACACCUGCUAGUGGAAUUUCAAGAAAGAAUCACCAUUCAUAAAUUAAAACAUUGUUAUAUGCUACCUCUCCAAACCACAGCCAUAUCAUUGUAAAAUAAAUAAAUAAAUAAAUUAUCAAAAUAAAAAUCUAACUUCUAACAGGUAUUUUAUUUUUCUGAAAGCAGGUGCAUCCUGCAAGAAAUGUGACACUUGAACUUUACAGCUUGAUCACAUCCUGCUUUAAUGACACUUUAAGCUAAAAGAGACUGACCUUUGCACCAAUAUCUCGGCUUUUGGCUCGCAAUUUGUUGACCUGUGACUCUGCAAUGUCAGCUCUCUCUUCGGCCUCAUCCAGUUCAUGCUGCAGCUUUCUGAACUUAGCCAGGUUUGUAUUGGCUUGCUCCUCCUGAAAGAAAAAAAGUACAGUAUUGAGCAGGUAUUUGAAAUAGAAAGUAAUUCCAAAUUUUGACACAUGACAUGUCAAUUCUGUCAUAAUACAACUGCUUUUAAAAUUAUUAUAUUUUGUAAUCAGUCUUUGAUAAUACUGUAUUUGCUAAAAACAUUAGUACUGCAUUUUUGUUGGUAUGGUGAAAGAUAAUUAUUAGCCUACACAGUUCAGUAUGUUAGCAGUUUCAGAAAUGCAUAAGAAAAAGAAGAAAGAUGCAUUUUUAAAAAAUUUAUUUUACUGUUUUCAUCAAAUUUUUAACUUCCUCAAUGUGAGUUGUUCUUAACCUAGCAGUUUUUAAACACUGAUUGCCUAUGUAGUGACGAGAUAAGUACUAGUGAAAGAAGAAAAGGUGCCCAGGUCUGUGCGAAUUAAUAGUACCUAUGAAUUUACCAGCAAAUAGAGGAUAAAAAGCAGCACAAUUGUUAGAGUAUUUAAUUAAAAAGCAGAUUAAUGAUAACAAGUAUACAGGUCACUUCUAGAAAGAUCUUUGUAUUUAAGUGGAGCAAACCAAAAUAAAAAAAAAACAUUGUAAGAAAGUAGAAAUACAUGCUGGGAUUUAUAGUCAAGGAUAAUAUUGGGUAAAAUAUCAGGGAAAAGAUAACAUAACAUAAGGUUUGCAUGGCAAGGAAAGACACGAAAAGCACAAAUAAAUAUAUGUGUACAUUACAGAUUAUCAACAAAGCUGACAAUACACAAAAGAAGGUUAUCAAAAUAUACGGAAUUUUGAAAGUUUAAUGUAAAGAAUUUGUAUGAUUUGGGAUUGUGAACCUCUUGAUAAAAUAAAAGAAAUUGGAGGUAGAGGGUGAAAAAUAGUAAGUAUCACAAAUAAAAAACUGGGGCAAGCAAGAAAUAAACUAUAAAGAAAAUAUCGACAUGAGUGGUAAUUUAUCAGUGUGCAGGUGGAUAAUAACUACAAAAAAGAUACCAGCCAGUAAGUAGGAGAGAUGGGGAUGGCUACUUACAAAUAAACAGCUGGACUACACUGACAGUACCACUGUGAGUAACAGUGGAAUAAGAUGGAAAAGAAAGGGAAGGUACAGGAAAUUUCUUUGCAAUUCUAAAAACAUUGGAAAAGCAUAAUGAUGCUGAAAUAUCUACAAACCUGAUACAAUGUAUGCUUUCAAUACAUUCUGAUUGUAAAACUAAAAAGAGGAAAGUAAAGGUAACAACACAGAAUUCGAUUUAAAACCACUGCCUUUAAAUUGUGGAACUAUUUUUCAAGAAGCACCUUUUCCUUUUAUCAGUACUACAGCUUUAAUUUUCUUUGCUACCCUAAUUCAAUCCCACAGCCACCUUUAUUCCCUUCAGCAACUUUUACAUUCUUUCUUUGCCCUUUUGAUAACCUAUCUUGCUGUAUAGCACAACUGAUACUGUAUUUACCACUUCUACUUCCAAAGGUCUGAAAUAUUUCUUUAUUUGUCUGCUGCCAUCAUUACUACUGUGAGGAGAAACAAAGGACGAUGUAGACCCCAAAGGUUUAUUUUGUUCCGAUGCUGUUAAAUAGAGUUUUUGUUUUCUUUACUUCAUUCUCAACUGAGAAGGUUUAAUCAGAUGAAUCUUCUAUCAUCAUGAUUCUACCACAUUUUAGCCCAACCUCAUAAGAAUUUACAGUAUUUUGUAUUGUUUUUUUAAAUAUGUAUGUCUGUUUAUAGUGAAUUAUUAUGUACUUCUUUGCAUACUAAGCUGAAAUUGAAUUUAAAAAACAGUAAUACAUCAUCACCCAAUGAAAGUAUAGCACAGCUGAAGGGUCCCUAGGUUGAAUACUUCUCCUCAGCGCACAGCAACAGUAACUGCAGACAUCAAUUACUAUGGGCCCUUGAUUAGUUUGAGGGCUUCCAGCAGCACUGCCAUAAUAAUGGAAUACUGAUAACUAACUUAAAACAAAUGUAAUUCAAGAUGAAACUGUAAGUCCAUGAGACAGCAAAAUCAGGAACAAACAAAAAACACAAAACAAGGUGAAAAUACAGAAACUCCUUCCUGGAGUGCUGCUCCAACAGAGUUUUUUCCUGCACCCAUAUACAGUGAGCAACCCAACAGAGGCAAUGUAGUUGGAGGUGUUUGCGGCUCACAAAUAUGGCCAAAAAAAGUAAUUGCUCAACCAAACCCUUAAACCCCCAUCAUUUCUUAACAGUAAAAGUUAAAUCCCAAAUCAGUAUGUCUUUGAUUGAAAAAUGGUCUACUAAGGUGUAUCUUUCAGUCUCCCCACAUAGACCACUCUAAUCAAUCAGCAAUGUAAGCGCGACUGUAGAGACAAACAUGCUUUAUUUUGCGAUCAGAUGCAAAAAUAAAUUCCUCGAAUCUUAAUGGGUGCACAUCUUGACUUAUAAUGCCAUUACUGUAUGGUCGAAAAUUUAAAUGGGCACUCACAAACACGUCUUAUCUUCCACAGCUAUUACAAUAUGCCUUCGUCUUAUUAUUUAAUUCGGAUAAACGCUUAAAAAUGAAAAACAACAGUUAUAUACCAAUUAAUCGGUUAAAACUGAUCAUGCACAAACAAUUUCUCUUACACAGUGAGAAAGAAAGCUUAUCUUACGUCCAGACACAAACACUAAGCGCCUGACGCCGGGUAUGAUUUGAUGCGCGCGCGGUCACCUCUGCCCUCUGAUUGGCUGUCUGUUUGUUGUGCUUGGCGGGAGGAGGCUCGGUGGCGGUACGAGAAUCUCUUAGGAGUGCUUCGUCCAUUAGUUUGACAAUUUUGAAUUGUUUUGGAGUAAACUUCAUCGGUAGUAGGCUAUCUAGCAUAAUUCCAUAACUUAAUCAAACGAACCGCUCUCGACCUUAUGUUUUUGUGGUGUGUUUCACUGGAUUGUUGUAAGACCUCUAGUCGGACGAAUGAAGACCUUCAAGAACCAAACGCGUUGAAAUACCAUGGUGAGUAACAAUAUUUACAUUAAUGAUAAGACGUCAGCAGGGAGCAAAUAAGAAAAUCCACGCAAGAUGACACUAACUCAAGUCUGUCACGAGAAAAAUCACGAGAGGCUGUGAGUUAUUUUAUAUUUGUCAGUUCUUUUAAAAUUACUUUCCUAAAGAUUCUUCUGGGAUAAUGCAGCAAUUUCGAUGAUACAGAAGAUUAAUCUAUUCACAAAGUAUUUUAGAACUGGUACACUUCCUUCCUCACUGGUUACGUAUGGCUUAUUCAUCUGAUCACAGCUACGUGGGCCUUUGAUAUAUUGCUAGUUAUUCAUUUAUGCAGGCAAUGGUUAGAAAGUUUUGAGCCCUGAAACUGAAAAAGAAAACAUGCAGUGCCCAUUUUGCUCUUCUGUGUUCUAAAUAUGUCAGUCAGUAGUUUCUACCAUUUGUGGUAUAUUGUUAAAGUUUCUUGUUUCAGAACCAAGCCAACAUGGAUGCAGGGAAGUGUAAACUGAAUUAUCUUGGUAUCUCAAAAUUUCUAAUGAUACAGAAAAAUACAUCCUCAGAGAUAAAUUUUUGUCUAGUCAAUGUGUACCAGGACGUCUCCUGAAAAUGUCUGGCUGGCCUUUAUCCACAAUAGAGCAAAUCAUAGUAAGGAAUUGAAAGGCAAUGGUGUGUGGGAUAGCAUGUAUUGUAGAUAGUAUACUGUUAAAUAUGGGCCAGCUGAGUCCAUUUUCAAGAAAAUUAAACACAGUCUAGAUCUCUGUAUAUUCUGUGCCCGGGCUGUUGACUCCUGAAAUGAAGCUUCAUGAUAUCUAAUGUUACAUAUAUAUAAUCUUGAGCUGAUCCAUUUGAAUUGAGAGAAAUUUAAUGAGAAUUUCGUGAUUUGGGAUGAAAAUUAGAUACAUUACUAGAAACCAAUCAACAAAUGAUACAAUGGAAGUAUGAUAAUUCUCCAAGAUCAAAUAAGUUACUGGUCCAAACCAAUGAUGACAAGAUCAUGCAUGCAUUUCAUUAUGAUGCUGAGGUUGUAAUGUAUAUUAAUAAGAUGCCUCAAAAAGCUCACAUAACUGGUCAAAAUAAUGCUGAUUUGCAUUGGCAUUAUAGUCAGCAAAAAAAACAAAACAAAUAAAAACAGGUAAGUUGUUCAUUAUCCUUUUUGUACUUUAUGAUAAUGCUCCUGUUCACUCUGCAAGGGUAGCAAAGCCUGCUCAGUGACACUGUGGCUUCAAAGGGGUGCCACACUGAUCCAGCUCUCUUAACCUGGCCUGUCAGACUUCCAUCUGCUCACCAGUCUGAAGGGAUACCUGUACAGGACAUUCUAUGUCAAUGAUGAAGACGUCAAGUUAGUUUCAGAAGAGCAGUCUUUUUUUUUUGAAUUGCAUAGAAAAGAUUUAUAAGUGUUUAUAACAAGUUUACUAGUAUUCACAAGAACUAUGAUGAACAAUAAAAUGUGUUUGCUUUACUGAUGUUUACCUUAAUAAGUCAGACUCAAAUAUUUUGAUAAUUAAUGGUAUCUUGGUCAAACUAUAGUACUAAGCUUUGGGCUGAGUACCUUAGAUUUCAAGUUCUAUUGUCCAGUAACUUUAUACUUUGUUUUUCAAAUGCUCAGAUGAAUUGUAUGUAGCAUACAUUUAUUAUUAAGUUUCUGCUAUGUAAAGAGAAAUACAAAUAUUUUUAGAAAAUGGCAAUUAUACUUGAACCCAGUAGUACUGGGAUAAGACUAAUUUACAGAGUCACAUGUGCCUACAUCUUAAACUGGAUUAUGUGUAUUUAAAGAAUGAUAACAAGAAAUAUCUUUAGGAGGGAGCAGUGAUUCCGUCUGCAAAGAACUAGUGCCCAUUUCAGGACUGCUUCUUUUUUUGCAUCCAGUUGUAUGAUUUUCAUGACCUUGAAUUGCAUCAAACAAAUUAUAUAAUGGGUGGUUGGACAAACAUUUGGAUAACUGUUGCUUCGCUACUUGUUCUUUUAGAUUCUUAACUUAGAUACCAUUUGAAUAGAGUUGGGUUGUUCUCACUUUGUUCACCUGGGUUUCCUGCAGGGAUACUGGAUUCCUCCCACAAGUCAAAAGAAAUGCAGUUAAGCCAAUUGGCAUCUCAAAAUGUGAAUACUAUGUAAUAGUCUUUGGUUCCAUCCAGAUCGCAUUUCUAUUGUUCAUCAUAUGCUGUCAGGAUUAGCUCAAAUAUGCCAUGCCUUCAAAAGUAUUGCUUUAUAACAGCCUGGUGUUAGUGGGUGUGUGCAGAAAUGCAAUUUGUAUGGAUUGGUGCCACAUCCAGGGAUGAUUUCUGCUUCAUGUUUUAAUACUCCAGGGUAGGCUCUGGCUCUUUGUGACACUGAAUUGGAUUAAGUGGGUUUAUAGAGUGAAUGGACAGAAAGGUGAGAAAAUGGAUUAUGUACAUAUUUGGUAGUACAAGUGAUGUUUUCAGUAGCAGCCAAUUUGUAAAUUCAGUCAAGGUCCAUUUUAUAAGUAUUCAUUAGAGUACUGUAGUCUUCUCUGACUGAAAAGUAAAAACAGGAACUGGGUUCUCUCUGAACCAUCACAUACUCAAUGUUAGUCUUCCUAACCUGCUGCAUAGUAUAAAAAGAAUCAAACCCAUAAAAGACUAUACUACAUAAUUCAUAGAGUUUGUAUGUGAGCCUUUUAUAAUUAGAUUAGCAAAGAUUUUGAAAUAGCAGAAAUCAAUUAAAAAUUUCUGAAAAUAAGGAUUAGCUCUGCUUUAAUAAAUAAGAAGUACUUAUUAACGUUUAUGUUUGUGGUUGAAUGUUCCUUUUUGUACACUGCCAUUAAAAUUUAUUUUAAUGUUUAUUUUUUGUUCCCGAAUUUAAUUAUGUGCCUUUUAUGUGUUUUUUUUCUGUCUGAUUUGUGCCUAUAAUAGUGUUCUUAUGUAGUAAUGUGCAGUAUAUUUUGGAUUUAAAAAUAUUCCAUAUUUUUAUUGCAACCAUAUUUAUAUUUUGGUAAUUAUUCUAAUAUACUUACAGCCUCUUCUGAGCUUCUUUUGUAUGCCUUGACCUUCAGCUGGAGCUUAUCUACCAAGUCCUGCAGACGUGCCAUGUUCUUACGGUCCUCCUCUGUCUGUGUGACACAUUCAAAUCAAGUCUUCUUUUAAAAAGCUAACCUUAGAACUUCAACAGGCCUAGCAAUAACAACCCUUUAUUAAAUUAAUUCAAACCCCAGACACCAAUAAUAAACUCCAAACUUUAGAUACCAAUAAUAAACUGACUUGUUUCUAUAACUGCUUUUUUAUUUAAAGGAAAUUAUUUUGUCAUACCUGGUAGGUAAGCUCCUUGAUGCGUCUCUCAUACUUCCUGGCUCCUUUCACAGCUUCAGCGC